rnacentral:lncRNA from 1 species
AACAAUUGUGAAGCUAAUCUCAGAGAUUCAUGCAUUCAAAUUUCAACUGACCCUUUUAUAUUUGUUAAACUAUUUUGGUGAAACACUUUACUUAUAAGUUGUUAUCGGAUUGAAUAAUUCAUGCACAAUUUUCUUUUGUAUAAAUCUGUCUCCUUGUAUAAUAGUCAAACCACAAGACGGUUAUAGUUAACUAUAUUAGAAAGAGUACAAACUGAAGAGAUCCAAACUCCAAAGUAGUAGUGACUUGGUAGUUUUUAGGUAAGUCAUGAUGGGAUCAAGAUGUGUUGAUAUCUAGAAGGAUGGUACGUUCUCAUGGAGUUCUUAUAUUUGUGCUUUUUCAACACUGGGUAUGUGAAUUCAUAAGUUAUACUUGGG